AGAAGAUUAUCAACAUAUCAUCUGAAGUGAUCAACAUUCACAUUAUCCCCACCCAAACAAAGCAUUUCAAAACAAAAUAUUGAAAAAAGCAUCGGCUUGUCCCCGGACUGUCCUACACAGUGAAAGUACACUUCUGUCCUGACGAAUGGCGCUACUUCUACGACUGUAUUCGGGUUCAUUGCAAGGGGGAAGAGAAUUUACAGGUUCCAGUCCAUGCCUACCCCAUCAUCGAUGACUUGCACAUCCCAACACACAUCACCAUACCAGCUGUCCCACUGGG